UGGAGGCAAAAGACUAAAAUAGACAUUUCCCCAAAGAAGUUAUACAAAUGACCAACAAGCACAUAAAAAUAUGUUCAAUCAACAUCAUUAGCCAUCAAGGAAAUGCAAAUCAAAACUAUAAUGAGACCAUAGCCAUUAGGAUGAUGGCUGCUAUUCAAAGAAACAGGAAAAUAACAACUCUUGGUGAGGACGUGGAGAAACUGGAAUCCUUGUGCAUUGCUGGUGGGAGUGUAAAGUGGUGCAGCAUCUGGGGAAAUGUUUGGUGGUUCCUUAAAAAUUAAAAGUAGAAUUACCAUAUGGCCCAGCACAAUAGUGUGCACCUAUAGUCCUAGCUACUCAGGAGGCUACAUGAGCCUUGCUUGAGCCAAGGAGUUCCAGUCCAGCCUGGGCAACAUAACAAGAUCCUGUCUCUAAAAAAUAAAAAAAGCCCAGUGUGGUGGCUCGCACCUGUAAUCCCAGCACCUUGGGAGGCCAAGGCUGAGGUCAGGAGUUCA
rnacentral:lncRNA from 1 species